AAUGAACGCUGGCGGCGUGGAUAAGACAUGCAAGUCGAACGGAGAAUACAAUUAGUUUACUAAGCGUAUUCUUAGUGGCGGACGGGUUAGUAACACGUGAGCAACCUGCCUUAAAGUGGGGGAUAGCCUUUCGAAAGGAAGAUUAAUACCGCAUGUGAUCGCAAGAUUAAAGAUGGCUUCGGCUAUCGCUUUAAGAUGGGCUCGCGUCCUAUCAGCUAGUUGGUGAGGUAAAGGCUCACCAAGGCGACGACGGGUAGCUGUUCUGAGAGGAAGAUCAGCAACACUGGAACUGAGACACGGUCCAGACACCUACGGGUGGCAGCAGUCGAGAAUCAUUCACAAUGGACGAAAGUCUGAUGGUGCAACGCCGCGUGGAGGAUGAAGGCCCUAGGGUCGUAAACUCCUGUCAUUGGAGAGUAAGGCAUAUUAGUUAAUAUCUAGUAUGUUUGAUAGUAUCC
rnacentral:rRNA from 1 species